AAGGGAGACCUAAUUCGGGUAGAAGACGAAAAAAUAGUAGUCGAAACCAAGAAUCAAUCCCAAAAGGUCGGAACGAGGUAUGUGGCUUUCAAACUAGGUUCUGGGUUCACAAAAGACCUGAAUCAGGAACAAGGGCUAUUAGCUCAGGUGGUUAGAGCGCACCCCUGAUAAGGGUGAGGUCCCUGGUUCGAGUCCAGGAUGGCCCACCUGCACAGGUGGCAAAAACAAGAGAAACGAGGAAUCAGCACCUUAUCUUACUUACAUAGUAAGAGAGAAUGCUGGCUCUGAGUAAAGAGUCCAGAGGAACCUUGAAAACUGCAUGGAGCUAGGUGAAAAAGCCAAAAAAGAAGACCGCAA
rnacentral:tRNA from 1 species